rnacentral:rRNA from 1 species
UACGUAGGGACCAAGCGUUGUUCGGAUUUACUGGGCGUAAAGGGCGCGUAGGCGGCAUGACAAGUCACUUGUGAAAUCUCCGGGCUUAACCCGGAACUGCCAAGUGAUACUGUCGCGCUAGAGUGCGGAAGGGGCAAUCGGAAUUCUCGGUGUAGCGGUGAAAUGCGUAGAUAUCGAGAGGAACACCGGUGGCGAAGGCGGCUCUCUGGAACAAUCCUGACGCUGAGGUGCGAAAGCUAGGGGAGCAAACGGG